rnacentral:rRNA from 1 species
AUUGAACGCUGGCGGCAGGCCUAACACAUGCAAGUCGGACGGUAGCACAGAGAGCUUGCUCUCGGGUGACGAGUGGCGGACGGGUGAGUAAUGUCUGGGGAUCUGCCCGAUAGAGGGGGAUAACCACUGGAAACGGUGGCUAAUACCGCAUAACGUCGCAAGACCAAAGAGGGGGACCUUCGGGCCUCUCACUAUCGGAUGAACCCAGAUGGGAUUAGCUAGUAGGCGGGGUAAUGGCCCACCUAGGCGACGAUCCCUAGCUGGUCUGAGAGGAUGACCAGCCACACUGGAACUGAGACACGGUCCAGACUCCUACGGGAGGCAGCAGUGGGGAAUAUUGCACAAUGGGCGCAAGCCUGAUGCAGCCAUGCCGCGUGUAUGAAGAAGGCCUUCGGGUUGUAAAGUACUUUCAGCGGGGAGGAAGGCGGUGCGGUUAAUAACCGCGCCGAUUGACGUUACCCGCAGAAGAAGCACCGGCUAACUCCGUGCCAGCAGCCGCAGUAA